AGUGAACGCUGGCGGUAGGCCUAACACAUGCAAGUCGAACGGCAGCACAGUAAGAGCUUGCUCUUACGGGUGGCGAGUGGCGGACGGGUGAGGAAUACAUCGGAAUCUACUUUUUCGUGGGGGAUAACGUAGGGAAACUUACGCUAAUACCGCAUACGGCCUACGGGUGAAAGCAGGGGAUCUUCGGACCUUGCGCGAUUGAAUGAGCCGAUGUCGGAUUAGCUAGUUGGCGGGGUAAAGGCCCACCAAGGCGACGAUCCGUAGCUGGUCUGAGAGGAUGAUCAGCCACACUGGAACUGAGACACGGUCCAGACUCCUACGGGAGGCAGCAGUGGGGAAUAUUGGACAAUGGGCGCAAGCCUGAUCCAGCUAUACCGCGUGGGUGAAGAAGGCCUUCGGGUUGUAAAGCCCUUUUGUUGGGAAAGAAAGGCAGCAGGUUAAUACCCCGCUGUUCUGACGGUACCCAAAGAAUAAGCACCGGCUAACUUCGUG
rnacentral:rRNA from 1 species